rnacentral:rRNA from 1 species
GGAUUAGAUACCCUGGUAGUCCGUUCUGUAAACGAUGAUUACUAGAUGAGUGCAAAUUUUGUGCUUGUCCAAGCGAAAGCGAUAAGUAAUCCACCUGGGGAGUACGCUCGCAAGAGUGAAACUAAAAGGAAUUGACGGGGGUCUGCACAAGCGGUGGAGCAUGUGGUUUAAUUCGAAAGUACGCGAGGAACCUUACCUGGGCUAGAAUGCCUUUGACCGCUUUAGAAACAAAGCUUCCUUUCGAGGCAAAGUGCAAGGUGCUGCAUGGCCGUCGUCAGCUCGUGCCG